rnacentral:rRNA from 1 species
UACGGAGGGUGCGAGCGUUAUCCGGAAUCACUGGGUUUAAAGGGUGCGUAGGCGGUCUGAUAAGUCAGUUGUGAAAUUCCUCGGCUUAACCGAGUGGACUGCGAUUGAUACUGUCAGACUUGAAUCAGGUUGAGGUAGGCGGAAUGUGACAUGUAGCGGUGAAAUGCUUAGAUAUGUCAUAGAACACCGAUUGCGAAGGCAGCUUGCUGGGCUUCGAUUGACGCUGAGGCACGAAAGCGUGGGGAGCAAACAGG